rnacentral:misc_RNA from 1 species
UUUCCGUAGGUGAACCUGCGGAAGGAUCAUUCAUAAUAAAGUGUUUUAUGGCACUUUUUAAAAAUCCAUAUCCACCUUGUGUGCAAUGUUAGAUCUCGUCUAUCUUUGUGAGAUUUUUAUACUUUAACUCAUUAUUUAACUAAUUUGUCUGAAAAUUAUUAUGUAUACUUAUUUCUAAUUACAACUAUCAACAACGGAUCUCUUGGCUUUC